rnacentral:lncRNA from 1 species
UGUCAGCAGGUAAAAAUUAUAUUUUUAUUUUGAUUUGAGUCGCCAAGAGGAUUCCCUUAUGGGUCUAUCAACCAUUCUGAAUUUAAAAGGCCAGAAAAAUUUGAUCCUGGGCACAUGCCCACAGGGAGGGAACCAAAACAGACUACCACCACUCCUCUUAAAAAAGAGGGAAUGGUGGGAGAAAAAAAGACAACCCUAAAUAAAAAAGAUUAAUUUCCAAAGCCCAGCACUAAAAACACAACUUGAAGCUUCAAAUGAACACGCCACACACAUAUGGAAAAAGUGUUUACACAGAGGCAAAUCUAACAGGGUCAUUUCUGUUUACUUUUUUUUUUUUUUAAAUACAGGUUUAGGUGUUUUUCAGCUAUAAACAAAGGCCCAAAAGUGCGUAUGUGAGAGAAAAGGCAGAAAUCAAGCAGAGAGGAAAUUCUCUUCCCUGCCCCCUAGGAACACCUCUCUCCGGAGGGAAGAGGAAAGGGGUGAGGGAGAAAAGGAAAAAGAGGGAAUGAGAUAAGAGAACAAGUAAACCAGUGUCACAAAGAAUUUACAAUUCUUCACCAUCUUCCUUUCUUGCAAAUAUUUCUGGUUUUGGUCCCAUUUGAGUAGAUUCACAUUACAGUUACGUUGUGGUUUUGUUUUGUUUUUCCUGGAUCAGAAUUGGCUUUGGAAAUGAGGACUUGAAGAAAAGGAGACCCCCAGGCCGUCACCCUACUGCAACAGUGCUUAACUGAGGAAGAAACUAGGCCAGAAAGCCCUUCGUUAAGCCAGGCUCAGGUAUGACAGACAUUUAAUAAGAAACCCUCCCCCUUCCCUCUUGUCCCACCCCCCAUCCCUGUAUCUUGCCCCCCCCUCCCCACUAUACUCCUUGGGGAGUAACUGAUGGUGAGAAAUCCACUACAACCCUGUAUCCCACUGUAUCUUAAUCCCAAGAUUGGGGGAAAGACUAUGUAAAAGAGAUUGGAGGGGUCUAGAGGCUCAAACUGGCUCUUUACAAGAGGUAAACUGAGAUGUGUGAAAACGGGAUAUUCCUUCCUGAAAGCCUUCCCUUCUCUCUGUUCCUUCCCACCCACCAGACCCAACCCUUCAAGCACGGUCAAUCGGUCUUUGGUCCCAGAGUCAACACUGUGCUUUGAGAUUUUCAGGUAAUAGGACAGUUCCCCGCUUAGCUUCUUGGACUACCUCUGCAGAAAAAGUCCACCAGGCGCUGACAUUUCCUCUUCCUCAGGCAUCUCGAGCCCCUCAGCUUGCCCACCUGAAGCUCUCCUCCCAUCCCGUGACGUCUCCUCCUCUAUGAAGCGGGGACAACGUCAGGGAAAGGGCCAAUGCAGGAAAUGCUGCUCCCCACCCAAGCUCCCUAAACACAACCAUUUUAACAGAAAAAUCCCUGACGAUUUGGUGCUGGCCAAGUGAGCUUCUUCCUUCAGUCAGACCCUUUCCAAGACAGCUUCCACUCUUGUCCCGUGCACAAAAAUAUCGCUGUCCCUUGGACCACUGGUGAAGAGGCUGGGUGAGCGAGUCUGGGACCGAGUGAGAGAAAGGGCUGAUGGAAGAAGAUCCAAUCCUAGAGAGCCGGAAGAAGCUUGACUCUCCCAAGCCAGUGAUGGGAAGAAGGGAAGUUCGAUAUAGCACCAUCUUCCCAUUCCUCCCCUAGCAGCUGGAGCUCCAGCUCUGGGGGAACAGUUUCCAGUUAUCAGGUUUGUCCUGGGACCUACCCCCAAGUGGAGGUGGGUGUUUGGUGUAAGAAAAUGGGAUUUUAGGGCAGGAGAGGCUGAUAGGCCAUUGCAAAGUCCUCCAUACCCCUACACAGAGCGCUGAACAGCCAGUAAGGGUCAGAGGGGGCAAGAGUACUCAGUUGUACAAUGAUCUGUUCAGGAUAAAGAACUCAUCCCCAUUUUCCCUCCUUUGCUCCCAUUCCAAGGAUGGGAGGUGGGAAUAGGCACUAAUCAGGUCCCUGGAAAGCCCUUGGAGGAAGCUGGGCCUGGACUUGCCAUAGACUUGCCCUAGAAGGUGUUCCCUUUGUUCCCCCCUGCUCCCCUGAUGAUGGUCACGAGGGGCUGGGACAGAGACAAGGUCCAGCCCCUGGAAGCAGAUGUUCUGGAGAAGGCAUCCUUGAGCCCCUGCCUUGUCCUAGCUUGGGGCACUGAAGGUGAGAGAUGGACUUCUCUGAGAUCUGUAGCUUCUUGUGAAGAAUUAAUUAAAAGACAUGUUUAAACAAGGACUGUGGUCAGCUCCACUCUUUAAGCUACACGGUUUGAAUCAGGAUGGGCUGGUUAAAUCACAGUGUGAAGAGGGAAAAAACGGGCGGGGUGGGAGAAAGAACAGGUAAACCCUGAAACUGAAGGAAUGUUUGG